rnacentral:misc_RNA from 1 species
GGAAAAAUGACGAGUCCUGAUGAGCUGUAGGCUCUAACAAGUGAGAAAUCAUCUCCAUUCUCCAGCACUGAACUCAUUCAAACGAAAUUAGGGCCAUCCCUGCUCAAAUCCAAGGACCCUCUAGCCGAUGCCGGAAUUGAAGCGUAACGCGUCGAGAAAUCCCGGAGCCCGUACUCAUCCUCCUCUCCAUUAAUAGUACCUUCGUCGAAGUUUAACGCAUAACUGAGAGGAUCGUAGUGGAAUUUCCCCUGCGUACCAUUUUUGUUCCGAUUGAAACGCCGGAUAAAAGUUUUCCAUCUCGGUCCCGCUACAAUCUCCGACCAUUCUCGUAGCUUCAUUAAAGCGUUAAUCCCUUUAGCCCAAACAGAACCUUCUUUCACUUCUUCAGUCUGUUCCUUACGCCACCAUUUCAAGCCGCCGCCUGACGACAACGGAAAGCAAAAACAACAACGCCG